CUUGGUCAUUUAGAGGAAGUAAAAGUCGUAACAAGGUCUCCGUUGGUGAACCAGCGGAGGGAUCAUUAAAGAGUUUAUUUAACUCCUUAAACCCCCUGUGAACAUACCUUUGUUGUUGCCUCGGCAGGCCGCGUCUACCGUACGGGAGCGAACUCGACCCUCGGGGAGAGUACUUACCCUGUAAGGCUGAAAAGUCAUACAACAGUAAGUCCCUAGUAGCCGCUGGGUACCCCCUGCCGGUGGUAUAAAAAAUUCUGUCUUAGUGGAUUGUUAUUCUGAGUGAUUACAAAAUAAGUUAAAAACUUUCAACAACGGAUCUCUUGGUUCUGGCAUCGAUGAAGAACGCAGCGAAAUGCGAUAAGUAAUGUGAAUUGCAGAACUCAGUGAAUCAUCGAAUUUUUGAACGCACAUUGCGCCCGCUAGUAUUCUAGCGGGCAUGCCUGUUCGAGCGUCAUAUCAACCCUUAAGCCUCUGUUGCUUAGUGUUGAGAGCCUAUAACGUUACGCUAUAGCUCUCUAAAGUUAGUGGCGGAGUUAGUAUACACUCUAGACGUAGUAAAUUAUUUUUUAUCUCGCCUAUCAUGUGUGCUAUAUCUCGCCGUAAAACCCCCUAAAUUUUACAAGGUUGACCUCGGACCAGGUAGGGAUACCCGCUGAACUUAAGCAUAUCAAUAAGCGGAGGA
rnacentral:rRNA from 1 species